GGGCCGGUAGCUCAGUCGGUUAGAGCGCAGCCCUGAUAAGGCUGAGGUCCCUGGUUCGAUUCCAGGUCGGCCCA
rnacentral:tRNA from 1 species